UACGUAGGGUGCGAGCGUUAAUCGGAUUUACUGGGCGUAAAGCGUGCGCAGGCGGCGUGUUAAGACAGGUGUGAAAUCCGUGGGCUCAACCUAGGAAUUGCGCUUGUGACUGGCGGGCUCGAAUACGGUAGAGGGGGGUGGAAUUCCUGGUGUAGCAGUGAAAUGCGUAGAGAUCAGGAGGAACACCGAUGGCGAAGGCAGCCCCCUGGGCCUGUACUGACGCUCAUGCACGAAAGCGUGGGGAGCAAACAGG
rnacentral:rRNA from 1 species